GCCCCUUAUACGACUCAUGGAGUCCUUUCGUGGAAGGCAGUGUUUGAUCAAUCUCGAAGACCUCUUCUAUUGACAGGAUCUACGAUUUGUAGACCAGUGUACAGUCCGUCCUAGUCAAUCGUGGUCUGAGUCCCAAACCUUCACUCUCUGAUAAUCAUCUAUGACCCUCAAAUACAUGUGGAGAGUAAAGGAUGAUUUCACUUUCAAAUAAAAUAGUACGAGUUAUAAAAGUACUAAUAGCUAUAUAAACUAACCCUUACCCUUGAUCCCAAAUAUGUUAUCCCUUGGUCCGUUCAAGCUAUUAGAUGGGGUUAAUAACCUCAAAUCUUCGUUGCAUAAUCUCUUUUCCCAUUCGUUACCCCCUUAAUCCGGCGAGUAAGAAUAAGGCAUGUUCUAACGUAGGACUCCGUUAAAAAGCAAUCAAAGCGGACAGAAAAAUAAUACAUGCAUGAACACUAUUUAAGAAUUACUAGUUAUUAGGUCUACAUUGUUAAUUCUUCAUCUUUCCCAAUUCCCAUAAUCCCAGUGAAUUAGCUACUCAUAACUAUUUGAUCACAAUUCAUAAUAAUUGAGUUAAAAAAAAUCAUGAACUUACAAAAUAAACGUUUGAAUUCCAAAAUCUUGAAUUGAAUUGCAAAGUAAUAAUCAAAGAUAAAAAAUUAUAUUAUAAGUCAAUGAAUUCAAGAAUUAUAGCAAAAGUAGUUCGCUAAUAAUUCUCAAACUCCAAAAACGAAUGAAUAAUAAAAAAUAAAGCCUAAGAAAAGUAUUUAUAGACAUCUAAUCCUAAAUAAAGCAAAUCUAAAAAAAGUAGGUUCAAUAAUAUCUACGGCUCAUGAUAUAUGGAUCGUAGCCCCUUAUACGACUCAUGGAGUCCUUUCGUGGAAGGCAGUGUUUGAUCAAUCUCGAAGACCUCUUCUAUUGACAGGAUCUACGAUUUGUAGACCAGUGUACAGUCCGUCCUAGUCAAUCGUGGUCUGAGUCCCAAACCUUCACUCUCUGAUAAUCAUCUAUGACCCUCAAAUACAUGUGGAGAGUAAAGGAUGAUUUCACUUUCAAAUAAAAUAGUACGAGUUAUAAAAGUACUAAUAGCUAUAUAAACUA
rnacentral:lncRNA from 1 species